rnacentral:rRNA from 1 species
UACAGGGGGUGCAAACGUUGCUCGGAAUCACUGGGCGUAAAGCGCACGUAGGCGGCUUCUUAAGUCAGGGGUGAAAUCCUGGAGCUCAACUCCAGAACUGCCUUUGAUACUGAGGAGCUUGAGUCCGGGAGAGGUGAGUGGAACUGCGAGUGUAGAGGUGAAAUUCGUAGAUAUUCGCAAGAACACCAGUGACGAAGGCGGCUCACUGGCCCGGUACUGACGCUGAGGUGCGAAAGCGUGGGGAGCAAACAGG